UACGUAGGGUGCGAGCGUUGUCCGGAAUUAUUGGGCGUAAAGACCUCGUAGGCGGUCUGUCGCGUCGGUCGUGAAAACUUGGGGCUUAACCCUGAGCUUGCGGUCGAUACGGGCAUGACUGGAGUUCGGCAGGGGAGACUGGAAUUCCUGGUGUAGCGGUGAAAUGCGCAGAUAUCAGGAGGAACACCGGUGGCGAAGGCGGGUCUCUGGGCCGAUACUGACGCUGAGGAGCGAAAGCGUGGGGAGCGAACAGG
rnacentral:rRNA from 1 species